rnacentral:misc_RNA from 1 species
AACUUUUGGCAAUGGAUCUCUUGGCUCCGGCGUCGAUGAAGAACGCGGCGAAAUGCGAUACGUGAUGUGAAUUGCAGAAUUCAGCGAAUCAUCGAGCCUUUGAACGCACAUUGCGCCCCUCGGUAUUCCGGAGGGCACGCCUGUUCGAGCGUCAUUUUACACCUCGGGCCCGGCCCUGUUCUGGGUGCAGCCGCACGUCCCAUUUGGCGGGCGCUCCUGUAACGCUUCGGCGACGCGGUCCGGACCCUUAGACGCGGCAAGUCCAAUCGUCUCGCGGGCUCCGGGCGCGUCUGCCGCCUAAAGGCGCCUGCACGCCGUCUCGCAAGCCUUGACCUCGGAUCAGGCGGGGAUACCCGCUGAACUUAAGCAUAUCAAUAAGCGGAGGCU